CCUACGGGUGGCUGCAGUGGGGAAUAUUGGACAAUGGGGGCAACCCUGAUCCAGCCAUGCCGCGUGUGUGAAGAAGGCCCUCGGGUUGUAAAGCACUUUCAGUGAGGAAGAACGCCUGGUGGUUAAUACCCAUCAGGAAAGACAUCACUCACAGAAGAAGCACCGGCUAACUCCGUGCCAGCAGCCGCGGUAAUACGGAGGGGGCGAGCGUUAAUCGGAAUUACUGGGCGUAAAGCGCGCGUAGGUGGCUUGAUAAGCCGGUUGUGAAAGCCCCGGGCUCAACCUGGGAACGGCAUCCGGAACUGUCAAGCUAGAGUGCAGGAGAGGAAGGUAGAAUUCCCGGUGUAGCGGUGAAAUGCGUAGAGAUCGGGAGGAAUACCAGUGGCGAAGGCGGCCUUCUGGACUGACACUGACACUGAGGUGCGAAAGCGUGGGUAGCAAACAGGAUUAGAUACCCGUGUAGUC
rnacentral:rRNA from 1 species